ensembl:misc_RNA Metazoa_SRP Metazoan signal recognition particle RNA
GCCGGGCAUGUUGGCACGUGCCUGUAGUCCCAGCUACUCAGGAGGCUGAGGCAGGAGAAUCGUUUGAACCCAGGAGGCAGAGGUUGCAGUGAGCCGAGAUUGAGCCACUGUACUCCAGCCUGGGUGACAGAGCGAAACUCUGUCUCAA